AACAACAGGGUCCAACAACAACAACAGGGGUCCAACAACAACAACAGGGUCCAACAACAACAACAGGGUCCAAACAACAACAACAGGGUUCAAACAACAACAACAGGGUUCGACAACAACAACAGGGUUCGACAACAACAACAGGGUCCAAACAACAACAACAGGGUCCAAACAACAACAACAGGGUUCAAACAACAACAACAGGGUCCAAACAACAACAACAGGGUCCAACAACAACAACAGGGUUCGACAACAACAACAACAGGGUCCAACAGGUUGAAACCUUUAUCUCAUAGUGUUGUUUACUCACCGGUUACCGGACGGAGGACCAUCCCGUACAGACACAACGACAGCAUCGUGAUUUGUUUCAGCAACGCCAUUGACUUCACUCUGUUGUACAUUUUUUUGAUUUAACUCCCAACAAAAAAACUUAAUGUAUUUAUAUGUCUUUCACGUCAGCUCAAUAAGUUGAAGUGAAAUGUCCAGUAUGGAAGAAGACAUUGAAAAGUAAAUGAUCAGUGAUGAAGACGGCGUCAGAUUGUCCUGCUAACAGCUAGCUAACGUUAGCCAACACAACGUUAGCUGAAAAUUACCUCACUAACAUUAACAAUACACUGGUAGCGUUACUACAGGUAGCUAACUAUGUUAAAAUAAACUUGUUUGGGGGGGGGGGGGACGGUCUUAUGCCUACAAAGUCCAACUUUGCCGUAUUUUUUGUCCCCCUUUUCAAGGUAACUAGCUAACGUUAGCUAGCUAGCUCCUUUGCUAACGUUAGGCAGCCUUUGAUAGCUAACCGUCCAAGCUAGCUAGCUAGCUAACGUUAGGUAUUUAUUAUAUACAAAAAGGUCCGUCAAAUCCAAAUUCCAUGUUGACUAUUCCCAUUCCAUAGGUCUUUGUCUUAACAACGUCCAUCCAUUCAGGGUUUAUUUGGUCUAUUCAGGGGUUUAGUAAAUAGGUUUUAGUCCCGUCGGGGUGGAUAGCCGUCUCUUUCUGCAUUUGGCAUUGACCGUGGAGGCUCCGGGCAGGGCAGGGCACCGGACAGCGAGGCUCCGGGCAGCGAGGCUCCGGGCAGCGAGGCACCGGACAGCGAGGCACCGGACAGCGAGGCACCGGGCAGGGCAGGGCACCGGACAGCGAGGCUCCGGGCAGGACAGGGCACCAGACAGCGAGGCUCCGGGCAGCGAGGCACCGGACAGUGAGGCGCAGAGCAGGGCAGGGCACCGGACAGCGAGGCUCCGGGCAGGACAGGGCACCAGACAGCGAGGCUCCGGGCAGGGCACCGGACAGCGAGGCUCCGGGCAGGGCAGGGCAGCAGACAGCGAGGCUCCGGGCAGGACAGGGCACCAGACAGCGAGGCUCCGGGCAGGGCACCGGACAGCGAGGCUCCGGGCAGGGCAGGGCAGCAGACAGCGAGGCUCCGGGCAGGACAGGGCACCAGACAGCGAGGCUCCGGGCAGGACGGCGGCGGCGGGGGGAAACGCCUGGUUGUGUCUCCACUAUCAGGUUUGGUGGAUUUGUUUGGGUGGAUGAUGAACUGGAAGCUCCCUAUCUGCAGACAGGGCUAACUACAACAAUACAUUCCUGCUGGAAGCUGUUGUUCAACUGUAUCGCCACCCUGUGGACAUAACUCAGUUGGUAGAGCACGGUGUUUGCAACGCCAGCAUGGUGUUUGCAACGCCAGGGUUGUGGGUUCGAUUCCCACGGGGGGCCAGUACAAAACAAAAACAAAAAAUAAUGUAUGAAAUGUAUUCACUACUGUAAGUCGCUCUGGAUAAGAGCGUCAGCUAAAUGACUAAAAUGUAAAAUGUCUUACAGACAGCAGGUCCAGAAAAACACUUCUACUGAAAUAUAUAUAUAGUUGUCCAUCAGAUGGCAAUAUGUCUGGUGAAAGACCCGCACACAGUUACAUCAACUCAUGUAACAACAUGCCAAAAACAAUAUUGGAAUAUGAGUCGCAUUUUCCUAGUGGCUUGUUUCUGCGUUUUCUUUUGAAUUUUCCCAUCAUGAUCCAGUGUUGUGAUGUGUUGAUGCAGACAAAUUAAUCCAUGCUUUUGUUACUUCUAGGCUGGACUACUGCAAUGCUCUACUUUCCGGCUACCCGGAUAAAGCACUAAAUAAACUUCAGUUAGGGCUAAAUACGGCUGCUAGAAUCCUGACUAGAACCAAUAAUAUUUGAUCAUAUUACUCCAGUGUUAGCCUCCCUACACUGGCUUCCUGUUAAGGAUGAGGCUGAUUUCAAGGUUUUACUGCUAACCUACA
rnacentral:lncRNA from 1 species